GUUAAGCGACUAAGCGUACACGGUGGAUGCCCUGGCAGUCAGAGGCGAUGAAGGACGUGCUAAUCUGCGAUAAGCGUCGGUAAGGUGAUAUGAACCGUUAUAACCGGCGAUUUCCGAAUGGGGAAACCCAGUGUGUUUCGACACACUAUCAUUAACUGAAUCCAUAGGUUAAUGAGGCGAACCGGGGGAACUGAAACAUCUAAGUACCCCGAGGAAAAGAAAUCAACCGAGAUUCCCCCAGUAGCGGCGAGCGAACGGGGAGCAGCCCAGAGCCUGAAUCAGUGUGUGUGUUAGUGGAAGCGUCUGGAAAGGCGCGCGAUACAGGGUGACAGCCCCGUACACAAAAAUGCACAUGCUGUGAGCUCGAUGAGUAGGGCGGGACACGUGGUAUCCUGUCUGAAUAUGGGGGGACCAUCCUCCAAGGCUAAAUACUCCUGACUGACCGAUAGUGAACCAGUACCGUGAGGGAAAGGCGAAAAGAACCCCGGCGAGGGGAGUGAAAAAGAACCUGAAACCGUGUACGUACAAGCAGUGGGAGCACGCUUCGGCGUGUGACUGCGUACCUUUUGUAUAAUGGGUCAGCGACUUAUAUUCUGUAGCAAGGUUAACCGAAUAGGGGAGCCGAAGGGAAACCGAGUCUUAACUGGGCGUUAAGUUGCAGGGUAUAGACCCGAAACCCGGUGAUCUAGCCAUGGGCAGGUUGAAGGUUGGGUAACACUAACUGGAGGACCGAACCGACUAAUGUUGAAAAAUUAGCGGAUGACUUGUGGCUGGGGGUGAAAGGCCAAUCAAACCGGGAGAUAGCUGGUUCUCCCCGAAAGCUAUUUAGGUAGCGCCUCGUGAACUCAUCUCCGGGGGUAGAGCACUGUUUCGGCAAGGGGGUCAUCCCGACUUACCAACCCGAUGCAAACUGCGAAUACCGGAGAAUGUUAUCACGGGAGACACACGGCGGGUGCUAACGUCCGUCGUGAAGAGGGAAACAACCCAGACCGCCAGCUAAGGUCCCAAAGUCAUGGUUAAGUGGGAAACGAUGUGGGAAGGCCCAGACAGCCAGGAUGUUGGCUUAGAAGCAGCCAUCAUUUAAAGAAAGCGUAAUAGCUCACUGGUCGAGUCGGCCUGCGCGGAAGAUGUAACGGGGCUAAACCAUG
rnacentral:rRNA from 1 species